rnacentral:rRNA from 1 species
UACGUAGGGUGCGAGCGUUGUCCGGAAUUAUUGGGCGUAAAGAGCUCGUAGGCGGUUUGUCGCGUCGACUGUGAAAACCCGCGGCUCAACUGCGGGCUUGCAGUCGAUACGGGCAGGCGUAGAGUUCGGUAGGGGAGACUGGAAUUCCUGGUGUAGCGGUGAAAUGCGUAGAUAUCAGGAGGAACACCUGCGGUGUAGACGGCUUUCUGGACCAUUGUUGACGCUGAGACACGAAAGCGUGGGUAGCAAACAGG